rnacentral:rRNA from 1 species
AGCAGUUUGCUAUCUACUGUGUGAACAGGCUCAAUCUCAUCUGACCUCGGAAGCUAAGCAAGGUCAGGCCUGGUUAGUACUUGGAUGGGAGGCCAAAAUAUCUUUUAAGACAAACUGGUC